AGACUUGGUCAAAACCGUAAGUGCAACUCUGAUUUCAGUACAAAUAAGUGGGGGGGAAAAGGCAUCAUGGUUUACACAUCCAAUGAUGGGGACAUUUAAGAGAAUAGUCCAGUGAACCCAAACUUAAUCCCCCACCCACAAAAAGAUUUAGAUUAUGUGAAAUACGGUGAAGGAGAGGAGAAAGGAUCAUCCAGGUCACAAUCAGAAACACUUGGCUGCACUGGUAUAAUCUGACCAAUACUUGCAAGGAAUAACUGAGUCAGUACGAUUCAGCCCAGAGAAGCAAAUAUAGGUGUGGAAAGAAAAAACACUGAGGCAAAGUGCAGGAGGCUGGAAACAGAGAGAAACACGUGGAACACAAUAUAACUGACUUCUUCGAUGAAACCAAACUAGGGUUUCCCACCUGUUGAGAAAAGGAAACAAAAACAUGAUCAGAGGACUGGUUUUAGGGGGCAGUGAAAGAAAGAGGAUUUUACAUUUAUCUUUGAUUCAUUUUACCUCUUUUUAAUAUGCAGGACUGCUCUCUAACGAUGUUACAUGAAAGGAGGACCCUUUGAGACCCUGAACCAUGAGGAAGAACGGAAGCAGCCCAUCCAGCAUGAACACCACUUGCCAGCAUCGGAGCUUGUGUUAUGACCGCCUGAUCGAAAAAUGUGUGAGCUGCAAAGAGAUGCAGAGAGGCACUGAAAAAGAACCAACCACUAUUCUCAGAGUGGCCAACCCUACAACCCGUAUACCAGCAGGACCUUUUACUGAAGAUCACACUUGCUCAGCCCUUGCCUUUGGUCUCUACAUUUUUGUGGGGCUAAUCCUUGCCUUGGCAGUGCUGUGGCUUGUAACAAACCUGAGACAAAAGAAAAAGAAGAGGAUGAAAAAAGCAGAUGAGGAAGAUCCUAAAGAAAAUAAGGACUCCUUUGAAAAUGAAGUUCAUGAAGACCAUAGCUGCGGGCAAGGAGAUGAUGCUCCUGGACUACUUAAAUGCCCACAUGAAAAUGGCACUUCAAACACUGCUGGUGAUGAAAUUUUAAUGAGGAACAUGUACCAUAUUGUUAAGGCAGGAAGUGAUGCCUCUGAAGUUGUUCCCCGGUCUCCCCUCAAUGAAGAACGCAGCCCUGCUUUUCCAGUGCCGGCAACUGAACUUGGAACAACUAUGCUGGUAACGGCCAAGACGACUCAGGGGAAUUUUCUUAGUGAAAAGUUGCCUUAACAAUAGGUUUAAAACUGCUGGGACCGGCAGGUACUCCCUAAAAUGUGAUAUCAGUACUUUUAGUAUGAUGAAAGGCUAUUGAAUGGAUACAGGCACUAGAGGUUUCUCUCACUUCUAAUGGAAGUAGGUUUGCUGUUUGCCAAAUUCUAAUGUAAUGAAGCCGGCCUCAGCUGCCAGAGGAUUUCAGUUUUGGUUCAGAUCAGAAAAAGUAAGUUAAUAAUAAUGGGAUAAUUUACCGCCCCUUGCCUGGCUGCCUUUGAAAUGGGAGAAGACAAAAAGAAAAGAUAAGUCUAAGGAAAUAAAAUUAUUAUUCAGCGCA
rnacentral:lncRNA from 1 species